rnacentral:rRNA from 1 species
UUAGAUGUACGGGGCCGCACGCGCGCCACACUGAAGGAACCAGCGUGUGCUUUCCCUGUCCGGCAGGACUGGGUAACCCGCUGAAACUCCUUCGUGAUAGGGAUAGGGGCUUGCAAUUGUUCCCCUUGAACGAGGAAUGCCCAGUAAGCGCGAGUCAUAAGCUCGCGCUGAUUACGUCCCUGCCCUUUGUGCACACCGCCCGUCGCUACUACUGAUUGAACGAUUUAGUGAGGUCUUCGGACUGGCCCUCGGAGCGGCCCCCGGGCCGGGCCGAAGUGCCGGAAAGAUGACCGAACUUGAUCGUUUAGAAGAAGUAAAAGUCGUAACAAGGUUUCC